GCCGGGCAUGGUGGCGGGUGCCUGUAAUCCCAGCUUCUUGGGAGGCUGAGGCAGGAGAAUUGCUUGAACCCAGGAGGCGGAGGUUGCAGUGAGCGGAGAUUGUGCCACUGUACUCCAGCCUGGGCAACAGAGCAAGACUCCGUCUCAA
rnacentral:SRP_RNA from 1 species